rnacentral:lncRNA from 1 species
AGCUUCCGGAGCAGCUGGGACUGCUGGCGCCCGCCACUACGCUCGGCUAAUUUUUUUGUGUUUUUAGUAGAGACGGGCUUUCACCGUGUUGGCCUAGCGGUUCUCCAACUCCUGACCUCAUGAUCCCCCCGCCUCAGCCUCCCAAAGUGCUGGGAUUACAAGCGUGAGCCACCGCGACCCGCCAACACUCUUGACAACAGUGCUGUGCUAAGAACUUGGGGGACUUCAAAAAGUUCACCAGUUCCUGUGUCCAUGGGUGAAAAGAUUUUCUACAUCUUUCCUUGACUAGAAACAGAAGUCCUGAAACAAGAAUAUAACGUCAGGAGGCCAGAGGCUUUGUCCUGCCUAAUGUGUUAUUUCCACACUGAAUAAAAGCACCUGAGUCCUGGUAAGUCUAAUUUGCUAGGUGUGGCAAUAUGACCAGUGAAAAACAACAAGGGCAGCAUUUCCUGCAGUUCGGUGGCACAGUAUGGUUCAAAGAGGUAUAAAAGGAAGUCACAGGCAUUUUAAAAAGGUUGUACAUCUAGCAAUACCUAACAAAAUAGGAAAUCAACUUGAUAAGGACAUUUUCUCCUAAAACUGUUAGAUUUUAUCAUCUGUAUAACAUACAUUUUUUCAUCUCUAUAGUAUGAAAACAUCCAUAUGGAUAUGCAUCAUUGCUUUUCAGGUGUCAAAAUUUGUGGAUAAAUAUAUAGUUUAUAAGAAGCAAAUAAGUGGCAAAUAACAAACUGUGACUAUUAAAGUAAUAUGAAAUUCAAAUUCAAAUAAAAAUACAUGUGUGACUAAUAAAUAAAGCUGAUAGCUCAGGGUUCAAAGUAAGAAAGAACUAGUUAUAUUAAUGAAGUCAUUUAACUUAGCUAUAAAACAAUAAAAAGCAAGAACUUAUUGAAAAUUAUAACUCUGUUUAAUUUCUUGAUAAAUCAGUCAACAUCGUUUCUACUGAAAUUAUCUCUAUUCCCAACACAUUAUUGUUUCCAGUUCACAUUAUGCUCAGGAAGGAUGGAUUUUCAUCACAUAGAAUGGUUUAAU